CCAAUAGCGUAUAUUAAAGUUGUUGCAGUUAAAAAGCUCGCAGUUGAAUUUCGGGGUCAGUAGAUUGGUCGUGCCACUGGUAUGCACUGGUCUUACUGGCUCCUCCUUCCUGAUGAACCGUAAUGCCAUUAAUUUGGUGUUGCGGGGAGACUGGACUGUUACUUUGAAAAAAUUAGAGUGUUUAAAGCAGGCUAACGCUUGAAUACAUUAGCAUGGAAUAAUGAAAUAGGACGUUCGAUCUUAUUUUGUUGGUUUCUAAGAUUGACGUAAUGAUUAAUAGGGAUAGUUGGGGGCAUUAGUAGUCAAUUGUCAGAGGUGAAAGUCUUGGAUUUAUUGAAGACUAACUACUGCGAAAGCAUUUGCCAAGGAUGUUGUCAUUAAUCAAGAACGAAAGUUAGGGGAUCGAAGACGAUCAGAUACCGUCGUAGUCUUAACCAUAAACUAUGCCGACUAGGGAUCGGAUGAUGUUAAUUUUUUAAUGACUCAUUCGGCGCCUUACG
rnacentral:rRNA from 1 species